rnacentral:rRNA from 1 species
AUUGAACGCUGGCGGCAGGCUUAACACUUGCAAGUCGAGCGGGGAAAGGUAGCUUGCUACCUGACCUAGCGGCGGACGGGUGAGUAAUGCUUAGGAAUCUGCCUAUUAGUGGGGGACAACAUUCCGAAAGGAAUGCUAAUACCGCAUACGCCCUACGGGGGAAAGCAGGGGAUCUUCGGACCUUGCGCUAAUAGAUGAGCCUAAGUCAGAUUAGCUAGUCGGUGGGGUAAAGGCCUACCAAGGCGACGAUCUGUAGCGGGUCUGAGAGGAUGAUCCGCCACACUGGGACUGAGACACGGCCCAGACUCCUACGGGAGGCAGCAGUGGGGAAUAUUGGACAAUGGGCGAAAGCCUGAUCCAGCCAUGCCGCGUGUGUGAAGAAGGCCUUUUGGUUGUAAAGCACUUUAAGCGAGGAGGAGGCUACUUGGAUUAAUACCUUGCUGUUUUGACGUUACCGACAGAAUAAGCACCGGCUAACUUCGUGCCAGCAGCCGCCGCCGUA